UGUGUACUCCCUCCGUUCCAAAAUACUUGACUUCCAUUUGUCCAAAAAUGGAUGUACCUAUAUACUAAGACAUGUCUAGAUACAUAUAUAUUUUGACAAAUAGAAGGCAUGUAUUGUGCAACGAAGGGAGUAGAAU
rfam:Triticum aestivum genome assembly, contig: Triticum_aestivum_CS42_TGACv1_scaffold_001847_1AL